UACGUAGGGUGCGAGCGUUGUCCGGAAUUAUUGGGCGUAAAGAGCUCGUAGGCGGCCUGUCGCGUCGGAUGUGAAAGCCCGGGGCUUAACCCCGGGUCUGCAUUCGAUACGGGCAGGCUAGAGUGUGGUAGGGGAGAUCGGAAUUCCUGGUGUAGCGGUGAAAUGCGCAGAUAUCAGGAGGAACACCAAUGGCGAAGGCAGCUCGCUGGGACGGUACUGACGCUGAGGCGCGAAAGCGUGGGGAGCGAACAGG
rnacentral:rRNA from 1 species